UACGGGGGGGGCAAGCGUUGUUCGGAAUUACUGGGCGUAAAGGGCGCGUAGGCGGGUCAUCAAGUCGGGGGUGAAAUCUUUCAGCUCAACUGGAAAAGAGCUUCCGAUACUGGUGGUCUCGAGGGAGGUAGGGGUCGAUGGAACUUCCGGUGGAGCGGUGAAAUGCGUAGAUAUCGGAAGGAACGCCGGUGGCGAAAGCGAUCGACUGGACCUUUUCUGACGCUGAGGCGCGAAAGCCAGGGGAGCAAACGGG
rnacentral:rRNA from 1 species